rnacentral:rRNA from 1 species
UACGGGGGGGCAAGGCGUUGUUCGGAAUUACUGGGCGUAAAGGGCGCGUAGGCGGUUGGAUAAGUCAGCUGUGAAAACCACGGGCUUAACUCGUGGCCUGCAGUUGAGACUGUCUGGCUUGAGUGUGGGAGAGGAGAGUGGAAUUCCUGGUGUAGCGGUGAAAUGCGUAGAUAUCUGGAAGAACACCAGUGGCGAAGGCGGUCAACGUGGCCCGUAACUGACGCUGAGGCACGAAAGCGUGGGUAGCGAACAGG